GCUGGAAUGGCCGAGUCGUUAAGGCGAGUGAUUUGAAUUCCUCAUUAUCACUUGGUGUUUCACCGCGUAGGUUCAAAUCCUGCUUCCAGCG